CAAUAGCGUAUAUUAAAGUUGUUGCAGUUAAAAAGCUCGUAGUUGGAUUUCUGGUGGGAGCGAUCGGUCUGGCGCUUAGCGCGAGUACUUGCAUCGUCUCCGGCCAUCCUUGGGGAGAGUCUGUCUGGCAUUAAGUUGUCGGGCAGAGGAUCCUCAUCGUUUACUGUGAAAAAAUUAGAGUGUUCAAAGCAGGCUUAUGCCGUUGAAUAUAUUAGCAUGGAAUAAUAAGAUAGGACUUUGGUACUAUUUUGUUGGUUUGCGCACCAAAGUAAUGAUUAAUAGGGACAGUUGGGGGUAUUCGUAUUCCGUUGUCAGAGGUGAAAUUCUUGGAUUUACGGAAGACAAACUACUGCGAAAGCAUUUACCAAGGAUGUUUUCAUUAA
rnacentral:rRNA from 1 species